AAUUUUGGACAAUGGGGGAAACCCUGAUCUAGCCAUCCCGCGUGUAUGAUGAAGGCCUUCGGUUUGUAAAGUACUUUUGGCAGAGAAGAAAAGGUAUCACCUAAUACGGGCUACUGUUGACUGUAUCUGCAGAAUAAGCACCGGCUAACUACGUGCCACCAGCAGCGGUAAUACGUAGGGUGCAAGCGUUAAUCGGAAUUACUGGUCGUAAAGCGUGUGUAGGCGGUGCGGAAAGAAAGAUGUGAAAUCCCAGGGCACAACCUUGGAACUGCAUUUUUAACUGCCGAGCUAGAGUAAGUCAGAGGGGGGUAGAAUUCCACGUGUAGCAGUGAAAUGCGUAGAUAUGUGGAGGAAUACCGAUGGCGAAGGCAGCCCCCUGGGAUAAUACCGACGCUCAGACACGAAAGCGUGGGGAGCAAACAGG
rnacentral:rRNA from 1 species